rnacentral:rRNA from 1 species
CGGUGUUCAACUGGCGUGUCCGCGGGACGUCCUGCCGGUGGGCUUAGCCCGCAAGGGCGGCCCAACUUCAAAUCCCAUCGCGGUGCUCUUCACUGAGUGUCGAGGUGGGCCGGCACGUUUACUUUGAACAAAUUAGAGUGCUUAAAGCAGGCUAAAACUUCGCCUGAAUACUGUGUGCAUGGAAUAAUGGAAUAGGACCUCGGUUCUAUUUUGUUGGUUUUCGGAACCCCGAGGUAAUGAUUAAUAGGAACGGAUGGGGGCAUUCGUAUUGCGACGUUAGAGGUGAAAUUCUUGGAUCGUCGCAAGACGGACAGAAGCGAAAGCAUUUGCCAAAAACGCUUUCAUUGAUCAAGAACGAAAGUUAGAGGUUCGAAGGCGAUCAGAUACCGCCCUAGUUCUAACCAUAAACGAUGCCAGCUAGCGAUCCGUCGACGUUCCUCCGAUGACUCGACGGGCAGCUUCCGGGAAACCAAAGCUUUUGGGUUCCGGGGGAAGUAUGGUUGCAAAGCUGAAACUUAAAGGAAUUGACGGAAGGGCACCACCAGGAGUGGAGCCUGCGGCUUAAUUUGACUCAACACGGGAAACCUCACCAGGCCCGGACACCGGAAGGAUUGACAGAUUGAGAGCUCUUUCUUGAUUCGGUGGGUGGUGGUGCAUGGCCGUUCUUAGUUGGUGGAGCGAUUUGUCUGGUUAAUUCCGAUAACGAACGAGACUCUAGCCUGCUAACUAGGCGUAUUUUCGACAUCUCAAAGGUCCGUCGUCCCGGCCCUCGGGUCGUGGGCGUGCGCGAUUUUUACUAUCGGCGUACUAUCAAUUCUUCUUAGAGGAACAGGUGGCUUCUAGCCGCACGAGAUUGAGCAAUAACAGGUCUGUGAUG